AUUGAACGCUGGCGGAAUGCUUUACACAUGCAAGUCGAACGGUAGAGGGGGCAACCCCUCGAGAGUGGCGAACGGGUGAGUAAUAUAUCGGAACGUGCCCAGUCGUGGGGGAUAACGUAGCGAAAGUUACGCUAAUACCGCAUACGAUCUACGGAUGAAAGCGGGGGAUCGCAAGACCUCGCGCGAUUGGAGCGGCCGAUAUCAGAUUAGGUAGUUGGUGGGGUAAAGGCUCACCAAGCCAACGAUCUGUAGCUGGUCUGAGAGGACGACCAGCCACACUGGGACUGAGACACGGGUCCAGACUCCUACGGGAGGCAGCAGUGGGGAAUAUUGGACAAUGGGCGCAAGCCUGACCAGCCAUGCCGCGUGCAGGAUAAGGUCUUAUGGAUUGUAAACUGCUUUUAUACUAGGAGAACCCUCCCACGUGUGGGGAUAAUUGACGGUACUGUAUG
rnacentral:rRNA from 1 species